GCCGGAAUAGCUCAGUUGGUAGAGCAGAGGACUGAAAAUCCUCGUGUCACCAGUUC
rnacentral:tRNA from 15 species